CCUCGUCGCCUGCCCUCCCCUCCCCUCCUCCCACAUCGCAGCUCCGGAGACCCACCCAUCCCUCUCAGCCCAUCUCUCUGUUGACGCGGCUCCUCGUGCGCCACCUGCGGCGGCUGAUUCAAGCGGCGGCCGGCGAAUCCAGCCGUCACGCGAAGCACAACCCGAGGUCCCACCUCACUGCGGUGCCCUCCCAAGCGGCCAGAUCCGGCGCUCGCGACCACCAAAGCCCACCCGCGAGCUUCCCCCGACGGCUAGGGUUUCAGGAGUAGGCUCCAGUGCCGGUGGCCAUGUCGGCCUCUUCUCGCCGGUGAGUGAAUCCCCUUCCCUGGCUUCGUCCUCUCUCUCUCUUCCCCUUUCUCUAACCUCUGUUCUUCUCUUCUCCUGUAGAUGUCUAGGUAUGCACCCCCGAUUCUGUUGCAACUAAUCCCUGUUAAAAAGUUUGCCCCCUAUGCAAUUCAUUUACGAACACUGAUAGGCCUGCAGACUGACUUCAGAUCUCCGUUGAUUUACAUUCACGCACUAAUUACUAUUCUAUUAAAAUAGUAAUUAUUAGAUAUCAAUGGAGCAUCGAAAGGAUGGAAGAAUAUUGAGCACCCGUAUUGUGAAUUUGUGAUACUUGUCCGGCUGAAGAAAAUGUGGAUCACAUCAUAUUGAGAUGCGCUCUAGCUCACUUUCUGUGGAGUAAGUUGAUGUCUUGCAGCAGGCAACAAAAUCCAACUCCUUGCUGGACUUUGUACGGACACUAAGAUCUGUUAGUCCACACGGGUUCCUGCUUUUGCUGCCUGUGUGGUUCAGCUGUGGAAAGUGCGUAAUACUUGUGUCUGACGGUCUGUCAAUGCCACAUUUUGCUUCUCGCCUUGCCAUCACGGAGAUGAUUCAGCUAUGGUGCUGUAGAUAGAAGGAUUGCUCUCUCAAGGCCUUUCUUCAGCACCACUCGGAGCUCCUGAGAAACAUCAUUUAGUCAGGUUUUAUUCUAGAGGCCUGUUCCCCUUCCUCCCUGUUCUUUCUCAUAUUUCUGUUCCUCUUAUGCGGUGUUUGAACCGGCAUCUUUUGUACCAAGACAAUUCUCAGACCUCGGUCUGGCUUUGGAAUAUAUAAGGUAGACUGUGGUCUACCUUCUUAUCAAUAAGAAAUAAAUCAAUGGAGCAUCAUUUUUUUAAAUCUUAUACGCUGCUAACUCAUCAAUACUUCAUAGAUUAGUAGGUAAUCCUUUCAAAUUUUUUUGAUGUAGAGAAGCACUACUUCAUAUAUGCGGACCGCAUAUUAAAUAGUCUAUUGCAAGAGUUGUAAUAUUUAAGGAGGGAUCCUGUCUUUAUAGAUCUCUGUAUUGAUGAGUUACUAAUCAAUGUUUUUUGUUCCAAUUUCACACUUUUCAGAAGUCUGAUGGUCAAGUUAUUUAGGUCUAAGGUAGUAGCUUGCUAAUGGUGGCUUUCACGUCCAGCUCAAAUACUAGAGGACGUGGACCUGUUGGAGAAAGCACGUACACCUUUGGUUUAGUGAGCAGGUUUCCAAAGAAAGAAAUACUCAAUGCCAUUCAAUGGCUUUCAAUGUGCCAGUCUCUACAUUCAUAGUAGGUCACUGGGUUUUACCUGCAACUAAGAUUAUUUCUGUUAUGGUGAUUAUUUAUUUAUUCCUUUAUUUCUUACAUUAGCUCUAACCAGUUUUCAGCCUCCUUUCCCGCUCUUAUUCAACUAUUUAUGUACUCCUAUCUUGCCAAUGGUGUACCUAUUGUUGUGUGUAAUUUAAUGUGAGGCAUCGCACUCAUCCGUUUAGGCACUAUCGAGAUGGAGGCCAACAUCAUGGAUGGCUGGAGCUGCGAGUAGAUUUGUCCAAGAUACGUUAGUGUUUGUAGUCAUGGUUCUGGUAAUUGUAUAUGAUCUCCAUAUCUUAACUGUUUUUGAAGACGAAAAUGCAAGUUGUUCUUCUUAGAUGCUCUUGCCUUUUUGAUUCAUACAUUGCUAAACUGACCACUGACAUCUCACCACUUUGAUUCAUAAAUUGCUGAAUUACCCACAUGAACUCGUGUUGUCAUGGUUCAUAAAUUGCUGAAAUUCCCAUUAAGUGGCUUCCACUGUUCCAUAUGAGCAGUGUCUGUUGUGCUUUUAACCAGUCAACUAAGUAGGUACUAUGUUAUUAGUGGCUUGCUUUUAGGCCACAAUAACAUCUAUUUAUUUUUCUCCAAGUUUGUUUAUGUUACUUUUGUCACCUGAAGUCGUAUAUUGAGUUGUAAGGGAAUACUUUCAGAUCACAACUUUUCUUUGUAAUAGUCGUAAUCUAGCCGACCAACCAAUUAUUCAGAAGUAAUGACCCUUUGCAAGAAGUAAUAUUUCUUAUUUGCUGGGCAACCUGGCACUAUUUGCAUCAUGUCAAUGCAUUGUGUAUUAACUGUUUAUUUUGUUAUUUUCUGUGUAGAUUCAAAAGAUAUAUUAAUGCUUAUAUGGGUGUGUGGCAAGUAUACUGCGAUGAUGACGAUGAUGUUCCAGUUAACGAUGAUGACGAUGAUGGGUGUUUUCAGUUGUAGUUAUGAUGGGUGUUUUCAGUUUUAGUUAAGUUGUAGGGAUGAUGUUACUGUCAGAUGAUGUUCCUCGGUUAAGUUUUAGUUAAGUUGUAGGCAUGUUGAUGGAUGCUUUCAGUUUAAGUUUCGUUGUUAAGAGAAUAUUUAGAUUAUGCAUCGCAUUUGGAUGCUAUUCCUUAUGUAAUAUCAACAAUUGUAAUCUCACUAUUUUUUCCAAUAUAUGAUUUCUUCCUCUCGUAUGUAUA